rnacentral:rRNA from 1 species
GACGAACGCUGGCGGCGUGCUUAACACAUGCAAGUCGAACGGAAAGGCCCUGCUUUUGUGGGGUGCUCGAGUGGCGAACGGGUGAGUAACACGUGAGUAACCUGCCCUUGACUUUGGGAUAACUUCAGGAAACUGGGGCUAAUACCGGAUAGGAGCUCCUGCUGCAUGGUGGGGGUUGGAAAGUUUCGGCGGUUGGGGAUGGACUCGCGGCUUAUCAGCUUGUUGGUGGGGUAGUGGCUUACCAAGGCUUUGACGGGUAGCCGGCCUGAGAGGGUGACCGGCCACAAUGGGACUGAGAUACGGACCAGACUCCUACGGGAGGCAACCGUGGGGAAUAUUGCACAAUGGGCCGAAGCCUGAUGCAACAACGCCGCGGGCGGGAUGACGGCCUACGGGUUGUAAACCGCUUUCGCCUGUGACGAAGCGUGAGUGACGGUAAUGGGUAAAGAAGCACCGGCUAACUACGUG